UUACGUCUAUAUCACGUUGAAACACCGGUUCUUGUACAAUCACCGAAGUUAAGCAACGUUGAGUCUGGUCAGAGCCACUGAGAUGGGUUACCGCUUAGGAAUACCAUGUGUUGUAAG